rnacentral:lncRNA from 1 species
GGAGAAUAAAAGGAGCUUUCCUCGCCUCUACAAAAAAAGGGAGAGAGUUUUCUUCCUAACUUCUUUUCCUUUUUUUUUUUUUUUGAAAUGCUCUUGUCUCCCAGGCUGGAGUGCAAUGGCGCGAUCUUCACUCACUGCAACCUCCGCCUUUCAAGUUCAAGCGAUUCUCCUGCUUCAGCCUCCCAAGUAGCUGGGAUUACAAGCGCGCACCACCGCACCAAGCUAAUUUUUGUAUUUUUAGUAGAGAUGGGGUUUCACCAUGUUGGCCAGGCUGGCCUUGAACUCCUGACCUCAAAUGAUCCGCCCCGCUCAGUCUCUCAAAGUGCUGGGAUUACAUGAGCUACCUUGCCUGGCCCCUAACUUCUUUUCUUUCCUUUAUCCAGCAAAUACCUAUUGAGUGUCUACUAGAUGCCUGUGCACAUCUAGGGAUGGUAAAGAUUUCUGUUCUCAAAGAACAUUCUGGUGCAGGAGGCAGAUGAGAAGACUAGCAAAUACACAUGCAUAAUUUGAGAUUGGGGCAAGUGCUGGGAAUGAAAUAGGGGCAUGCGAUCAAAAAAGCAUGUGAGUAAAGGGAAUUUGAGAAGGUUUUCUUUUUCUUUUUUCUUUUCUUUUCUUUCUUUUUUUUUUUUUUUUUUUUUUGAGACAGAGACUCUGUCAUCCAGGCUGGAGUGCAAAGGUGCAAUCUCGG